AACUAACAAGGAUUCCCCUAGUAGCGGCGAGCGAAGCGGGAAAAGCUCAAAUUUGUAAUCUGGCGUCUUCGACGUCCGAGUUGUAAUCUCGAGAAGUGUUUUCCGUGAUAGACCGCAUACAAGUCUCUUGGAACAGAGCGUCAUAGUGGUGAGAACCCAGUACACGAUGCGGAUGCCUAUUACUUUGUGAUACACUUUCGAAGAGUCGAGUUGUUUGGGAAUGCAGCUCAAAUUGGGUGGUAAAUUCCAUCUAAAGCUAAAUAUUGGCGAGAGACCGAUAGCGAACAAGUACCGUGAGGGAAAGAUGAAAAGCACUUUGGAAAGAGAGUUAACAGUACGUGAAAUUGUUGGAAGGGAAACACAUGCAGUGAUACUUGCUAUUCGGGGCAACUCGAUUGGCAGGCCCGCAUCAGUUUUCCGGGGCGGAAAAGCAUAGAGAGAAGGUAGCAGUUUCGGCUGUGUUAUAGCUCUUUAUUGGAUUCGCCCUGGGGGAUUGAGGAACGCAGCGUGC
rnacentral:rRNA from 1 species